GACCUGCAGAAGGAUCAUUA
rnacentral:rRNA from 1 species